CCCGCAACGAGCGCAAUCCCUGUCCUUUGUUGCCGCACGUAAUGGUGGGAACUCAAGGGAGACUGCCCGUGAUAAACCGGACGAAGGUGGGGAUGACGUCUAGUCAUCAUGGCCCUUACGGCUGGGCUACUUCGUGCUACAAUGGCUGUACAGAGGGCUGCACCUAGCGUUAGUUAGCGAAUCCUUAAAAGCGCGUCGUACUCCGGAUUGGAGUCUGCAACUCUCUCCCUGAAUCGUAGCUCUAUUAAUCCAAUCAAAAUGAUGCGGUGGUCCGUU
rnacentral:rRNA from 1 species